rnacentral:rRNA from 1 species
UACGUAGGGUGCGAGCGUUAAUCGGAAUUACUGGGCGUAAAGCGUGCGCAGGCGGUGAUGUAAGACCGAUGUGAAAUCCCCGGGCUUAACCUGGGAACUGCAUUUGUGACUGGCGGGCUAGAGUAUGGCAGAGGGGGGUAGAAUUCCACGUGUAGCAGUGAAAUGCGUAGAGAUGUGGAGGAACACCGAUGGCGAAGGCAGCCCCCUGGGUCAAGAUUGACGCUCAUGCACGAAAGCGUGGGGAGCAAACAGG